CGCCAGCGGCUGCUGCUGCUGGGUUUACUGCUGUUGGAGGCUUUUGACUGUCUCCGUCAAGACAUUCAUCUGUUGCACAAAUGCAGCGAUUUGAAUGUCUGUGGUGAUCAUGGGACGUAAGGAACUGGGCUCUGCUACCAAAGGAGAAGAAGAAUCUCUUCCUGACGAGAAGAGUGCCUCACCGAUCCAAUUGCAGUCGAAUGCUG
rnacentral:lncRNA from 1 species